rnacentral:rRNA from 1 species
UACAGAGGCCUCGAGCGUUAGGCGGAAUCACUGGGCUUAAAGCGUGUGUAGGCGGACUUCUAAGUACCUUGUGAAAUCCCACGGCUCACCCGUGGAACUGCUUGGUAUACUGGUUGUCUUGAGCCUUCUAGGGGCGAGUGGAACAAAUGGUGGAGCGGUGAAAUGCGUAGAUAUCAUGUGGAACGCCAAUGGUGAAAACAACUCGCUGGGGAAGUGCUGACGCUGAGACACGAAAGCCAGGGGAGCGAACGGG